rnacentral:rRNA from 1 species
AACGAACGCUGGCGGCAGGCCUAAUACAUGCAAGUCGAACGCCUGUAGCAAUACAGGAGUGGCAGACGGGUGAGUAACACGUGGGAACGUGCCCUUUGGUACGGAACAACUCCGGGAAACUGGAGCUAAUACCGUAUGUGCCCUUCGGGGGAAAGAUUUAUCGCCAAAGGAUCGGCCCGCGUCUGAUUAGCUAGUUGGCGGGGUAAUGGCCCACCAAGGCGACGAUCAGUAGCUGGUCUGAGAGGAUGACCAGCCACACUGGGACUGAGACACGGCCCAGACUCCUACGGGAGGCAGCAGUAGGGAAUAUUGGACAAUGGGCAAGCCUGAUCCAGCCAUGCCGCGUGAGUGAUGAAGGCCUUAGGGUUGUAAAG